AUUGAACGCUGGCGGCAUGCUUUACACGUGCAAGUCGAACGGUAACAGGGUGCUUGCACCGCUGACGAGUGGCGAACGGGUGAGUAAUGCGUCAGAACGUGCCGAGUAGUGGGGGAUAACGCAGCGAAAGUUGUGCUAAUACCGCAUACGUACUGAGGUAGAAAGUGGGGGACCUUCGGGCCUCACGCUAUUCGAGCGGCCGACGUCUGAUUAGCUAGUAGGUGAGGUAAAGGCUCACCUAGGCGACGAUCAGUAGCGGGUCUGAGAGGAUGAUCCGCCACCCUGGGACUGAGACACGGCCCAGACUCCUACGGGAGGCAGCAGUGGGGAAUUUGGGACAAUGGGCGAAAGCCUGAUCCAGCCAUGCCGCGUGUCUGAAGAAGGCCUUCGGGUUGUAAAGGACUUUUGUCAGGGAGGAAAUCCCUAGUGCUAAUAACACUGGGGGAUGACAGUACCUGAAGAAUAAGCACCGGCUAACUACGUGCCAGCCGCCGCAGUAA
rnacentral:rRNA from 1 species